rnacentral:tRNA from 1 species
GCAGGUGUAGCUUCAACCGGCAGAGCGCCGCCUUGGUAAGGCGGAGGUCGUGGGUUCAAGUCCCACCACCUGCUCCA